UAGAGUGCUGUGAUUUAAAAAUAUAUUCCUCGUUCUGAUCUGAGGAUGUGAGGACUACUUUACACCCAUAGAAUAUGAGCACUC
rnacentral:snoRNA from 1 species